GGAUGUGAGGGCGAUCUGGCUGCGACAUCUGUCACCCCAUUCGUCACCAGGGUUGAUGUGGCUGAUCUGGCUGGCUUGGCGAGUGUCCCCUUCCUCCCUCACAGCUCCAUGUGUACCUCUCCCGAAGCUGGGCACUCAGUUGAAGAGGAUGAUCAUCCCUGAUAGAGGAGGACCAGCGUUUGUUCAAGGGUCCUCCCUUGAACAAGUAGCUGCACUCCCCUGCUAGAACCUCCAAACAAACUCUCAAGGUCCAGAGACAUGAUGUGAACUCCAGGUCUUAGUUGAUGAUCACGUGGCUCUGCAGUGGUGCAGAUUGUGUCUUUGA
rnacentral:snRNA from 1 species